rnacentral:rRNA from 1 species
GGUGAACGCUGGCGGCGUGCUUAAGACAUGCAAGUCGAACGCAGUCUUCGGACUGAGUGGCGCACGGGUGAGUAACACGUAACUGACCUACCCCCAAGUCGCGAAUAACCAGCCGAAAGGAUGGCUAAUACGUGAUGUGAUGAUCUGCUGUGGCGGAUCAUUAAAGACUUGAUCGCUUGGGGCUGGGGUUGAGGUUCCAUCAGCUAGUGGGUAAGGUAAAGGCUUACCAAGGCAACGACGGAUAGCCGGCCUGAGAGGGUGGCCGGGCACAGGGGCACUGAGACACGGGUCCCACUCCUACGGGAGUCAGCAGUUAGGAAUCAUCCACAAUGGGCGCAAGCCUGAUGGAGCGACGCCGCGUGAGGGAUGAAGGUACUCGGAUCGUAAACCUCUGAACCAACGACGAAAGACCCGACAAGGGAGAUGACGGUAGUUGGGUAAUAGCACCGGCUAACUCCGUGCCAGCCGCCGCCGUAACAC